UACGGAGGGUGCAAGCGUUAUCCGGAUUCACUGGGUUUAAAGGGUGCGUAGGUGGGCAGGUAAGUCAGUGGUGAAAUCCUUGAGCUUAACUCGAGAACUGCCAUUGAUACUAUCUGUCUUGAAUGUUGUGGAGGUGAGCGGAAUAUGUCAUGUAGCGGUGAAAUGCUUAGAUAUGACAUAGAACACCAAUUGCGAAGGCAGCUCGCUACACAAAUAUUGACACUGAGGCACGAAAGCGUGGGGAUCAAACAGG
rnacentral:rRNA from 1 species